rnacentral:lncRNA from 1 species
ACUCAAAUUACUUUGUGGAGAAAGACUGAGGUUAUCCUUUUCCUUCCACAGGAGAUCGAUGAUGCCUGAGGAAAGAGAACCUACAAAUAACCAAAUAACUGCUCUGUAGGAGCUUCAAUUCCACCACAAAUUUUCAUAGCUAACUUGACUGCUAGAUGACUCCCAUGCCAUACCUGCUGGAGAAGUCUUUUAUUGUGAAGCUCUCUCCUGUUAUCCCCUGACUCUUCAAGAUCU